rnacentral:rRNA from 1 species
AACGAACGCUGGCGGCAUGCCUAACACAUGCAAGUCGAACGAGACCUUCGGGUCUGGUGGCGCACGCGUGCGUAACGCGUGGGAACCUGCCCUUAGGUUCGGAAUAACUCCCCGGAAGGGGUGCUAAUACCGGAUAAUGUCUUCGGACCAAAGUUUUAUCGCCUUUGGAUGGGCCCGCGUUGGAUUAGCUUGUUGGUAGGGUAAAAGCCUACCAAGGCGACGAUCCAUAGCUGGUCUGAGAGGAUGAUCAGCCACACUGGGACUGAGACACGGCCCAGACUCCUACGGGAGGCAGCAGUGGGGAAUAUUGGACAAUGGGCGAAAGCCUGAUCCAGCAAUGCCGCGUGAGUGAUGAAGGCCUUAGGGUUGUAAAGCUAUUUUACACGGGAUGAUAAUGACAGUACCGGGAGAAUAAGCUCCGGCUAACUCCGUG